rnacentral:rRNA from 1 species
UACGUAGGUGGCGAGCGUUGUCCGGAUUUACUGGGUGUAAAGGGCGCGUAGGCGGGAUGACAAGUCAGAUGUGAAAUCCAUGGGCUCAACCCAUGAACUGCAUUUGAAACUGCCAUUCUUGAGUAUCGGAGAGGCAAGCGGAAUUCCUAGUGUAGCGGUGAAAUGCGUAGAUAUUAGGAGGAACACCAGUGGCGAAGGCGGCUUGCUGGACGAAAACUGACGCUGAGGCGCGAAAGCGUGGGGAGCAAACAGG